rnacentral:lncRNA from 1 species
AGAUGGGAGACCAACAGAAUAUUGCAAAGCUAGCUAUGCAAUUAUGCCAUCACUGUCCCUAGAGUCCUAUUUAUAUUCUAACCAAACAUCACUUUUCCUCCUAUGGGUCUUGCCUCAAUAAAAGACCACAUAGUCUGCCUCACAUGACAUAUCUGCAAACUUUCACUUCAUUUACCUGAUCAUGAUUUUGCUUUGGUAAGUGAUAUCUAUCGAGAAAGUUAUUCACUUCAUUUACAUUUCCCAGUUCUGUACAUUGUAGGUUUUGGAAGUAUGCCCUAAUGAUGCUUUGGAUUUCCUCAGUGUCUAUCAUUAUGUCCCCAUUUUCAUUUAUGAUUUUAGUAGUUUGGAUAUUGUCUCUCUGACUUUCAGUUGGUUUGACUAAAGGUUUCUCUACCUUGAUGAUUUCCUCAAAGAACUACCUCUUGGUUUCAUUGAUUCUUUUUAUUGUUUUUUGUUUUUAAUGUAUUGACUUCAGCCCUGAGCUUAAUUAUUUCCUGCUCUCUAUUCCUACUGGGUGUACUUAUUCUUUUUUUUGUUUUCCAGAGCUUUCAGGUGUGUUAUUAAAUUGCUAGUAUGGGAUCUCUCCAAAUUCUUUAUAAAGCCACAUAGUGCUACAAACUUUCCUCUUAGCUGGGCUUUCAUUGUCAGUGAAUUCUAGAAAGUCAAUUUCUUUCUUCUUCCUUAGUCCAGUGGUCAAGGAACACACAGGUUUUUCUGUUUCCACAACUGUGUAGGCUUUCUGUCAUUUCUGUUGUUGAAGUCCAGCUUUAUUCAAUGGUGGUCUGAAAACAUACAAAGGGUAUUUCAAUUUUCUUGUAUGUGCCAAGACUGGCUUUGUGGCCAGGUAUAUUAUUAAUUUUGGAGAAGACUGCAUGAGCUGUAAAGAAGAAGGAAUAUUAUUGACUUUGGAAGAAAUGUUUUGUAGAUAUCUAUUACGUCCAUUUGAUUCAUAAUAUCUCUUAGUUUCAUUAUUUCUCUGUUGAGUCUCUCUGUUUAGUGUCUCUAGAUGACUUGUCCAUUGGUGAGAGUGGGAUAUUGAACUCUCCCACUGUUAUAGUGUAUGGAUGUGUGUGUGUGCAUGCACACACAUGCGAUAUGUGUGCUUUUGGUGAGGUGAAAUUAGUUUUUUCCUGUGUUUUCUUAGGUUUUUUUAAACGCCGUUGUGCUUUAGUUUUACUUGAAGUAUCCUCUGUAGGGCUGGAUUUGUGGAAAGACAUUGUUUAAAUUUGAUUUUCUAAUUGAAAAUCUUAUUUUACCCAUCUCCGGUGAUUUAAAAGCUAAUACCAAUUCUCCUCAAAUUAUUCGACAAUAUAUAAACAAUGAAAAUAUGGAGACGCAUGGAUGGGGGUGGGGGGACCUCGAGUAAGUCCUAGAGACCUGAGAUAUGAGAAGCUCCCAGGACUCAAUGAGAGUGACAUUAGCCAAAAUGCCCAGUAGCGGAAAGAUAUAACUUGAUCAGUCCACAUCCAGAGGUCAGACAAGGUAGGUUGGAGGUAUGGGCACACCAACCUACCUUCAAAAUUUUUGGUUCUUGUCUAACAGAAAUGCAAGGAUAAAAAUGGAGCAGAUCUUGAAGGAAUAGCCAUCCAGUGGCUGGCCCAACUUGGGACCCAUCCCAGAGGCAGGCACCAAACCCUGACACUAUCACUGAUGCCAUGUUUUACUUGCAGACAGGAGCCUAGCAUGGCUGUCUUCUGAGAAGGUCUACCAGCAGCUGACUGAGACAGAUGCAGAUAAUUACAUUACAGAUAAUUGGACUAAGGUCAAGGACCCCUAUUGAAGAGUUAGGAGAAAGAUCAAAGGAACUGAAGGGGAUGAAAGGAGCUACCCCACAUGAAGACCAACAGCAGUGUCAACUAACCUGGACCCCUGAAUACUCCCAGAAACAACAACCAAAGAACAUACAUGGGCUUAUUCAAGGCCUGUGGCACAUAUCUAGCAGAGAACUGAUUGCCUUGAGUAUCCCCAGAGGGAGAGGAUGUGCCCAGUUCUGUAGAGACUAUAUACCAGGUAGAUACCUGGGGAGGUCACCCUCUCAGAGGUAAAAUGGAGGGAAGACAGAGUGGGGAAUUCUGGGAGGGGGUAAUGGGAGAUGGGGCAAUAUUUGGGAUGAAAAUAAAUAUGUGAUAAAAAAAAAAACAGAACAAACACUGCCAAAUUCAUUCUAGGAGGCCACAGUUACCCUAAUAACUUAAUGGUGAGGUUUGGUCUGUUGCUAUGUAUUGUAAUGCUAAAUUCUCUAUCACAAGGUCUAAUUGCCUUAAGGCAAUGCAACCCUCUGGUAUACUAAUUUUUGUUGUACAAAUCUUGCCCUGUAAGUUAUCUUGUUAAUAAAGAUGCCUUCAGGCUCUAGUUGGACAGAAAAGAGUUAGGUGGGGCUUUGGUUCCUGGGAUUGAGGCCUGAGGCAGAGUCCAUGAAGGAGAGAGAAAAGAAGAAGGAAUGAGGCAUGCUAGGGUGCGUGAAUUGUGAGCACAUGGUCAUGUGGGCUGCUACAUGGAGUAGGAGCAGCCCAGGGAAAACAUGGCAAGUGAUAUCUCAGGAUUAUUGACAGGAAAAUAGACAAAGUAACAAAGAGGGUUGAUAUCUGCCUAGCUCUAGUGCUUUAAGGCUUAUUAUAAAUAGAAAGGUUUUGUGUCUUUUAUAUGGGAACUAAAUGACCUAAGGUGGAGUCAAAACCUCCAAAUAAUUUUACUACAACAGCUAAACCACAAAAUGGCACAACAAAGAAAGAGAAUUUCAGACCAAUCCCCCUAUGAACAUUCACAUAAAAAUAAUAAAAUAUUUGCACACUAAAUCUAAGAACACAUCAAAAACAUCAUCCAUCAUAAUCAAGUAAACUUCAUUACACAAAUGGAGGGAUGGGUCAACAUGAAAAUCUACCAUUUAAUGCAACAUAUAAACAAAAUGAAUUUAAAUAAAACCACACAUUAUUAUCUCAUUAGAUUCUGAAAAAACCCUUUGAAAAAAAAUCCAAUACCCUUUCAUGAUAAAAAGUCUUGGAGAGAUCACAAGGCACACAUCUAAACACAAGAAAGGCAAUAUACAGCAAGCCAAUAGCUAACCUCAAACUAAAUGGAAACAAACUUAAAGCAAUCCCACUAAAUCGGGGACAAGGCAAGGCUGCCCACUCUCUCUCUGUCUAUUCAAUAUAGUACUUGAAGUUUGGCUAGAGCAAUAAGAAAACUAAAAGAGAUCAAAGGGAUAAAAAUUGGAAAGCAAUAAGUCAAAACAUCUUUAUUUGCAGAUGAUAUGAUAGUAUACACAAGGGACCCCCAAAAUUUACCAGGGAACUCCAACAACUGAUAAACACCACCAGCAAAGUGGCUAAAAACAAAAUUAACU